UACGUAGGUGGCGAGCGUUGUCCGGAUUUACUGGGCGUAAAGCGCGCGCAGGCGGUGACGUAAGUCGCGUGUGAAAUCUCCCGGCUCACCCGGGAGGGGCGCGCGAGACUGCGCCACUGGAGGUGGGCAGAGGCCGGUGGAAUUCCCGGUGUAGUGGUGAAAUGCGUAGAGAUCGGGAGGAACACCAGUGGCGAAAGGCGGCCGGCUGGGCCCAACCUGACGCUGAGGCGCGAAAGCGUGGGGAGCGAACCGG
rnacentral:rRNA from 1 species